rnacentral:rRNA from 1 species
AGAGUUUAUCCUGGCUCAGGAUGAACGCUGGCGGCGUGCUUAACACAUGCAAGUCGAACGAAGCAUUUAAGGACGAUUCUUCGGAUGAGGACUUUUAUGACUGAGUGGCGGACGGGUGAGUAACCGCGUGGGUAACCUGCCCUAUACAGGGGGAUAACAGUUAGAAAUGACUGCUAAUACCGCAUAAGCGCACUAGAACCGCAUGGUUCGGUGUGAAAAACUGAGGUGGUAUAGGAUGGACCCGCGUCUGAUUAGCUUGUUGGUGGGGUAAACGGCUCACCAAGGCGACGAUCAGUAGCCGGCCUGAGAGGGCGACCGGCCACAUUGGGACUGAGACACGGCCCAACUCCUACGGGAGGCAGCAGUGGGAAUAUUGCACAAUGGGGGAAACCCUGAUGCACGACCCCCCGUGAGUGAAAAAUUUCGGUAUGUAAGCUCUAUUCAGCAGGGAAAAAAUGACGGUACCUGACUAAAAAGCCCCGGUUAAUACUUGCCAGCAGCCGCGGU